AGAGUUUGAUCCUGGCUCAGAGCGAACGCUGGCGGCAUGCUUAACACAUGCAAGUCGCACGGUCAGCAAUGGCAGUGGCGGACGGGUGAGUAACGCGUAGGAAUCUAUCUCUGGGUGGGGGACAACCGUGGGAAACUACGGCUAAUACCGCAUGAUACCUGAGGGUCAAAGGCGUAAGUCGCCUGGAGAGGAGCCUGCGUCUGAUUAGCUAGUUGGUGGGGUAAAGGCUUACCAAGGCGACGAUCAGUAGCUGGUCUGAGAGGAUGAUCAGCCACAUUGGGACUGAGACACGGCCCAAACUCCUACGGGAGGCAGCAGUGGGGAAUAUUGGACAAUGGGCGCAAGCCUGAUCCAGCAAUGCCGCGUGUGUGAAGAAGGUCUUCGGAUUGUAAAGCACUUUUGGCAGGGACGAUGAUGACGGUACCUGCAGAAUAAGCCCCGGCUAACUUCGUGCCAGCAGCCGCGGUAAUACGAAGGGGGCUAGCGUUGCUCGGAAUGACUGGGCGUAAAGGGCGCGUAGGCGGCUGCCACAGUCAGAAGUGAAAUUCCUGGGCUCAACCUGGGGACUGCUUUUGAUACGUGGUGGCUUGAGUGGGGAAGAGGGUUGCGGAAUUUCCAGUGUAGAGGUGAAAUUCGUAGAUAUUGGAAAGAACACCGGUGGCGAAGGCGGCAACCUGGUCCUUUACUGACGCUGAGGCGCGAAAGCGUGGGGAGCAAACAGGAUUAGAUACCCUAGUAGUCC
rnacentral:rRNA from 1 species